GUGGGUAGUUUGACUGGGGCGGUCUCCUCCUAAAGAGUAACGGAGGAGCACGAAGGUUGGCUAAUCCUGGUCGGACAUCAGGAGGUUAGUGCAAUGGCAUAAGCCAGCUUGACUGCGAGCGUGACGGCGCGAGCAGGUGCGAAAGCAGGUCAUAGUGAUCCGGUGGUUCUGAAUGGAAGGGCCAUCGCUCAACGGAUAAAAGGUACUCCGGGGAUAACAGGCUGAUACCGCCCAAGAGUUCAUAUCGACGGCGGUGUUUGGCACCUCGAUGUCGGCUCAUCACAUCCUGGGGCUGAAGUAGGUCCCAAGGGUAUGGCUGUUCGCCAUUUAAAGUGGUACGCGAGCUGGGUUUAGAACGUCGUGAGACAGUUCGGUCCCUAUCUGCCGUGGGCGCUGGAGAACUGAGGGGGGCUGCUCCUAGUACGAGAGGACCGGAGUGGACGCAUCACUGGUGUUCGGGUUGUCAUGCCAAUGGCACUGCCCGGUAGCUAAAUGCGGAAGAGAUAAGUGCUGAAAGCAUCUAAGCACGAAACUUGCCCCGAGAUGAGUUCUCCCUGAGACUUUAGGUCUCCUGAAGGAACGUUGAAGACGACGACGUUGAUAGGCCGGGUGUGUAAGCGCAGCGAUGCGUUGAGCUAACCGGUACUAAUGAACCGUG
rnacentral:rRNA from 1 species